UGAUUCUUCAACACACACCCCACUUCCUGUGAAAAGCCUCAACCACAGCCCUCAGACGUCUCCCCUGAGCUCACCGGCUUAAUUCUGUCAUGGGCUACAGAUUCUGAGAAUCCUUGCAACUCCUUUCAAUAAACGUAUCCCUUCCCCGCACACGUCCUGGUCUUAUCGUGAUUCUUUUCUUACUGUUUCUGGUAAUUUACCAUUUCAACAUCCCUCUUCUCUCU
rnacentral:lncRNA from 1 species